GUUACAGGUGCCAAUAGUUUAGCAUGGCUACAGGUGCCAAUAGUUUAGCAUGGCUACAGGUGCCAAUAGUUUAGCAUGGUUACAGGUGCCAAUAGUUUAGCAUGGCUACAGGUGCCAAUAGUUUAGCAUGGCUACAGGUGCCAAUAGUUUAGCAUGGUUACAGAUGCCAAUAGUUAAGAAUGGUUACAGAUGCCAAUAGUUUAGCAUGGUUACAGAUGCCAAUAGUUUAGCAUGGUUACAGGUGCCAAUAGUUUAGCAUGGCUACAGAUGCCAAUAGUUUAGCAUGGUUAC